UACAGAGACCUCAAGCGUUAUCCGGAAUCAUUGGGCGUAAAGCGUACCGAUAGGUGGUCAUGAUAGUUUUGGGUAAAAGCCAGAAGCUCAACUUCUGCGUUUGCUCAAAAUACUUCACGACUAGAGGGGCAAAGAGGUGCUUGGAACGAAUGGUGUAGUAGUGAAAUGCGUUGAUAUCAUUCGGAACACCGAAAGCGAAGGCAGAGCACUGGGUGCCACCUGACACUGCUAGGACGAAAGCGUGGGGAGCGAAUGGG
rnacentral:rRNA from 1 species